UGAGCAAUCUGCCCUUCUCUUCGGAAUAAGCGUUGGAAACGACGUCUAAUGCCGAAUACGACCUCCUUUCGCAUGAUCGGAGGUGGAAAGCUCCGGCGGAGAAGGAUGAGCUCGCGGCCUAUCAGCUAGUUGGUGUGGGUAAUGGCCCACCAAGGCGACGACGGGUAGCCGGCCUGAGAGGGUGACCCGGCCACACUGGGACUGAGACGCGGCCCAGACCUCCGUACGGGAGNAGCG
rnacentral:rRNA from 1 species